rnacentral:rRNA from 1 species
AUUGAACGCUGGCGGAAUGCUUUACACAUGCAAGUCGAACGGCAGCACGGACUUCGGUCUGGUGGCGAGUGGCGAACGGGUGAGUAAUGUAUCGGAACGUGCCCAGUCGUGGGGGAUAACGUAGUGAAAAUUACGCUAAUACCGCAUACGAUCUAUGGAUGAAAGCGGGGGAUCGCAAGACCUCGCGCGAUUGGAGCGGCCGAUAUCAGAUUAGGUAGUCGGUGGGGUAAAGGCCCACCAAGCCAACGAUCUGUAGCUGGUCUGAGAGGACGACCAGCCACACUGGAACUGAGACACGGUCCAGACUCCUACGGGAGGCAGCAGUGGGGAAUUUUGGACAAUGGGCGAAAGCCUGAUCCAGCCAUUCCGCGUGCAGGAUGAAGGCCCUCGGGUUGUGAACUGCUUUUGUAUAGAACGAAAAGGUUUCUACUAAUACUAGGAGCUCAUGACGGUACUGUAAGAAUAAGCACCGGCUAACUACGUGCCAGCCGCCGCCGUAA